rnacentral:rRNA from 1 species
CCUACGGGAGGCUGCAGUGAGGAAUAUUGGUCAAUGGCCGGAAGGCUGAACCAGCCAUGCCGCGUGAAGGUCAGUGCCCUAUGGGCGUUAAACUUCUUUUGUGCGGGAGCAAUAAUGGUCACGUGUGGCCAGUCGAGAGUACCCGGAGAAAAAGCAUCGGCUAACUCCGUGCCAGCAGCCGCGGUAAUACGGAGGAUGCGAGCGUUAUCCGGAUUUAUUGGGUUUAAAGGGUGCGUAGGCGGGAUGCCAAGUCAGCGGUAAAAAUGCGGUGCUCACCGCCGUAGAGCCGUUGAAACUGGCGUUCUUGAGUGGGCGAGAAGGAUGCGGAAUGCGUGGUGUAGCGGUGAAAUGCAUAGAUAUCACGCAGAACGCCGAUGGCGAAGGCAGCAUACUGGCGCCCUACUGACGCUGAGGCACGAAAGCGUGGGUAUCGAACAGGAUUAGAUACCCUAGUAGUC